GCUGGCGGCACGCCUAACACAUGCAAGUCGAACGAAGUAGCAAUACUUAGUGGCAGACGGGUGAGUAACAUGUAGGUAUCUACCCUUUGGCCUGGAAUAACACGAGGAAACUUGUGCUAAUACCGGAUAAGUCUUUACGGAGAAAGCUUUAUGCACCAUUGGAUGAGCCUGCACUUGAUUAGUUUGUUGGUGGGGUAAUGGCCUACCAAGACUUUGAUCAAUAGCUGAUUUGAGAGGAUGAUCAGCCACAUUGGGACUGAGACACGGCCCAAACUCCUACGGGAGGCAGCAGUGGGGAAUCUUGCACAAUGGAGGAAACUCUGAUGCAGCGAUGCCGCGUGAGUGAAGAAGGCCUUUGGGUUGUAAAGCUCUUUCGUCGGGGAAGAAAAUGACUGUACCCGAAUAAGAAGGUCCGGC
rnacentral:rRNA from 1 species